GAAAGGCGAAACGUAAUGUGAAUCGCAACUAACAGUGAAUCAUCGAAUCUUUGAACGCAGGCCGCAUCUUGCGGUAUCAUCUCGAUACUGCAAGGUAUCUGCGUAUGAGUGUCAGCCAUAAAUCAAUUUGGUUCAUGAAGGAGUCAUGAUAAAUCAUGCCUAACUCAUGAAUACACACGUGUCUAUGCGACAUAUCUCUUGAAGCAUUUACAAACGGUGUCUGGCCUCAUAUGUGGAAGAUUACCCGCUGGAUUUAA
rnacentral:misc_RNA from 1 species